rnacentral:rRNA from 1 species
CUACGGGUCGCUGCAGUAGGGAAUUUUGCGCAAUGGGCGAAAGCCUGACGCAGCAACACCGCGUGAACGAUGACGCUUUUCGGAGUGUAAAGUUCUGUCAGUGGGGACGAAUUUUGACGGUACCCACAGAGGAAGCACCGGCUAACUCCGUGCCAGCAGCCGCGGUAAUACGGAGGGUGCAAGCGUUGUCCGGAAUCAUUGGGCGUAAAGAGUUCGUAGGUGGUAUGUUAAGUCUGGUGUUAAAGCCCGAAGCUCAACUUCGGUUCGGCACUGGAUACUGGCAAACUUGAAUGUGGUAGAGGUAAAGGGAAUUCCUGGUGUAGCGGUGAAAUGCGUAGAUAUCAGGAGGAACAUCGGUGGCGUAAGCGCUUUACUGGGCCAUAAUUGACACUGAGGAACGAAAGCCGGGGUAGCAAAUGGGAUUAGAUACCCCCGUAGUC